GGGGAACGAUAACGGCGUCGAGCGGCGGACGGGUGAGUAAUGCCUAGGAAAUUGCCCUGAUGUGGGGGAUAACCAUUGGAAACGAUGGCUAAUACCGCAUGAUGCCUACGGGCCAAAGAGGGGGACCUUCGGGCCUCUCGCGUCAGGAUAUGCCUAGGUGGGAUUAGCUAGUUGGUGAGGUAAGGGCUCACCAAGGCGACGAUCCCUAGCUGGUCUGAGAGGAUGAUCAGCCACACUGGAACUGAGACACGGUCCAGACUCCUACGGGAGGCAGCAGUGGGGAAUAUUGCACAAUGGGCGCAAGCCUGAUGCAGCCAUGCCGCGUGUGUGAAGAAGGCCUUCGGGUUGUAAAGUACUUUCAGUCGUGAGGAAGGCGGCGUCGUUAAUAGCGGCGUUGUUUGACGUUAGCGACAGAAGAAGCACCGGCUAACUCCGUGCCAGCAGCCGCGGUAAUACGGAGGGUGCGAGCGUUAAUCGGAAUUACUGGGCGUAAAGCGCAUGCAGGUGGUUUGUUAAGUCAGAUGUGAAAGCCCGGGGCUCAACCUCGGAAUAGCAUUUGAAACUGGCAGACUAGAGUACUGUAGAGGGGGGUAGAAUUUC
rnacentral:rRNA from 1 species